CCUACGGGAGGCAGCAGUGGGGAAUAUUGGGCAAUGGGCGCAAGCCUGACCCAGCAAUGCCGCGUGAAGGAAGAAGGCUUUCGGGUUGUAAACUUCUUUGACAGGGGAAGAGCAGAAGACGGUACCCUGAAAACAAGCCACGGCUAACUACGUGCCAGCAGCCGCGGUAAUACGUAGGUGGCAAGCGUUGUCCGGAUUUACUGGGUGUAAAGGGCGUGUAGCCGGGAAGGGAAGUCAGAUGUGAAAUCCGGAGGCUCAACCUCCGAAUUGCAUUUGAAACUGUUAUUCUUGAGUACUGGAGAGGCAGGCGGAAUUGGUGGUGGAGCGGUGAAAUGAGUAGAUAUAACGAAGAACGACGAUGGCGAAGGCAGGCUGCUGGACUGUAAUGGAAGGGGAGGCUCGAAAGUGUGGGGAUCAAACAGGAUUAGAUACCCGAGUAGUC
rnacentral:rRNA from 1 species